rnacentral:tRNA from 1 species
UCCCUGGAGGGCUAGUGGUUAGGCCACGGUGCUCUCACCCCCACGACUCGGGUUCGUUUCCUGGCCAGGGAA